rnacentral:piRNA from 1 species
UAGGAUAUGAUGCUGGAGGAUUCCGGUCC